CUCCCGGCACGGGGAGGUAGUGACGAAAAAUAACGAUACGGGACUCAUCCGAGGCCCCGUGAUCGGAAUGAGCACACUUUAAAUCCUUUAACGAGGAUCAAUUGGAGGGCAAGUCUGGUGCCAGCAGCCGCGGUAAUUCCAGCUCCAAUAGCGUAUAUUAAAGUUGCUGCGGUUAAAAAGCUCGUAGUCGAAAUUGUGUCCUCGGCCGCCGGUUCGUCGCUCGCGACGCCAACUGGCGCGCACGUUGGACGUCCAGCCGGUACUACGAACUCGCCUACGGGGUGCUCUUAACCGAGUGUCCAGGCGGGGGCCGGCAACGUUACUUUGAACAAAUUAAAGUGCUUAAAGCAGGCUAAAUUGCGCUCGCAUACACGCGCAUGGAAUAAUCGAAUAGGACCUCCGUUCUAUUUUGUUGGGUUUUUGUGGAACGACAGACGGAGGUAAUGAUCAAUGGGUGCGGAUGGGGGCAUUCGUAUUGCGACGUUAGAGGUGAAAUUCUUGGAUCGUCGCAAGACGGACUUAAGCGAAAGCAUUUGCCAAAAACGCUUUCAUCGAUCAAGAACGAAAGUUAGAGGUUCGAAGGCGAUCAGAUACCGCCCUAGUUCUAACCAUAAACUAUGCCAGCUAGCGAUCCGCCGACGUUACUUCUAUGACUCGGCGGGCAGCUUCCGGGAAACCAAAGCUUUCGGGUUCCGGGGGAAGUAUGGUUGCAAAGCUGAAACUUAAAGGAAUUGACGGAAGGGCACCACCAGGAGUGGAGCCUGCGGCUUAAUUUGACUCAACACGGGAAACCUCACCAGGCCCGGACACCGGAAGGAUUGACAGAUUGAGAGCUCUUUCUUGAUUCGGUGGGUGGUGGUGCAUGGCCGU
rnacentral:rRNA from 1 species